rnacentral:rRNA from 1 species
UACGUAGGGGGGCAAGCGUUGUCCGGAUUUACUGGGCGUAAAGCGCGCGUAGGUGGAACGAUCAGUCCGGUCUGAAAGCCCCCGGCUCAACCGGGGAGGGUGGCUGGAAACUGUCGUUCUUGAGGGCGAGAGAGGAGGGUGGAAUUCCUGGUGUAGUGGUGAAAUGCGUAGAUAUCGGGAGGAACACCAGUGGCGAAGGCGACUUCCUGGCCUGUUCUUGACGCUGAGGCGCGAAAGCUAGGGUAGCAAACGGG